CACGUAGGGGACGAGCGUUGUCCGGAUUCAUUGGGCGUAAAGCGCGCGUAGGCGGCUCGGAAAGUCGGUCGUGAAAUGCCGGGGCUCAACCCCGGGACUGCGUCCGAUACUCCCGAGCUGGAGGCAGGUAGGGGAGAUCGGAAUUCCUGGUGUAGCGGUGAAAUGCGCAGAUAUCAGGAGGAACACCGGUGGCGAAGGCGGAUCUCUGGGCCUUGCCUGACGCUGAGGCGCGAAAGCUGGGGGAGCAAACGGG
rnacentral:rRNA from 1 species